CAAUCGAACCCGGAGAUAGCUGGUUCUCCUCGAAAUAGCUUUAGGGCUAGCCUCGCAUUAGUUUACCGGAGGUAGAGCACUGAAUGGUCUAGGGGGCCUCACCGCCUACCGAAACCUAUCAAACUGCGAAUGCCGGAUAAAUGAUGUGCGGGAGUCAGGCCGCGAGAGAUAAGUUCCGCGGUCAAAAGGGGAACACCCCAGAUCGUCUGCUAAGGUCCCCAAGUACGCGUUAAGUGGGAAAGGAUGUUGGAUUGCACAGACAACCAGGAUGUUGGCUUAGAAGCAGCCACACAUUCAAAGAGUGCGUAAUAGCUCACUGGUCGAGUGAUCCAGCGCCGAAAAUGUAACGGGGCUAAAACGCGACACCGAAGCAGCGGGAUGCGUAAGCAUCGGUAGAGGAGCAUUGUGUGAGGGUUGAAGCCAGAGCGAGAGCACUGGUGGACUUCACAGAAGAGAGAAUGCCGGUAUGAGUAGCGAGACCCAUGCGAGAAACAUGGGCGUCGAAGGCCCAAGGUUUCCUGGGGAAGGUUCAUCCACCCAGGGUAAGUCGGGACCUAAGCCGAGGACUGAGGUCGUAGGCGAUGGACAGCAGGUAGAGAUUCCUGCACCACUUACACUUGUUUGACGAAGCAGUGACACAGAAGGAUAGGACGAGCGCGGUGAUGGUCAACCGCGUAGGCGGCACGAGGCUGGGGAGCAGUAAAGUACACUUCCCGUUAAGGCUGAGUGCUGACAGGACCGAAAAAGAGUAGGGAAGCGUCUGAGUUCACGCUGGCGAGAAAAGCUGCUAAGGAGAGUGUGAGUGCCCGUACCGGAAACCGACGCAGGUGGGCGAGGAGAGAAUCCUGAGACGGACGGGAGAACUCUUGUUAAGGAACUCGGCAAAAUGACCCCGUAACUUCGGGAGAAGGGGUGCCUCGAAAGAGGCCGCAGAGAAUAGUCACAAGCGACUGUUUAGCAAAAACACAGGUAUCUGCGAAAGCGAGAGCUGACGUAUAGGUGCUGACGCCUGCCCGGUGCUGGAAGGUUAAGGGGAAGUGUUAGGGGAAACCCGAAGCAGAGAACCGAAGCCCCAGUAAACGGCGGCCGUAACUAUAACGGUCCUAAGGUAGCGAAAUUCCUUGUCGGGUAAGUUCCGACCCGCACGAAUGGCGUAACGACUUGUGAGCUGUCUCAACAGGAGGCCCGGUGAAAUUGAAGUAUGUGUGAAGAUGCACAUUACCCGCGACUGGACGGAAAGACCCCGUAGAGCUUUACUGUAACCUGACAUUGGAUCUUGAUAACGGAUGCACAGGAUAGGUGGGACGCUGGGAGGUAUGGACUUUGGUCUGUACGGAGCGGACGUUGGGAUACCACUCUUCUGUUAUUGAGAUUCUAACCUCAAGCCGUAAGCCGGAUGAGAGACAGUGUCAGGCGGACAGUUUGACUGGGGCGGUCGCCUCCGAAAGAGUAACGGAGGCGCCCAAAGGUACCCUCAGAAUGGAUGGAAACCAUUCGAAGAGAGCAAAGUCAGAAGGGUGCUUGACUGCGAGACCAACAAGUCGAGCAGGUACGAAAGUAGGGCUUAGUGAUCCGGCGGUAAGAGAGUGGAAUUGCCGUCGCUCAACGGAUAAAAGCUACCUCGGGGAUAACAGGCUGAUCUCCCCCAAGAGUUCACAUCGACGGGGAGGUUUGGCACCUCGAUGUCGGCUCGUCGCAUCCUGGGGCUGAAGCAGGUCCCAAGGGUUUGGCUGUUCGCCAAUUAAAGCGGCACGCGAGCUGGGUUCAGAACGUCGUGAGACAGUUCGGUCCCUAUCUGUUGCGGGCGUAAGAGAUUUGAAGGGAGCUGUCCUUAGUACGAGAGGACCGGGAUGGACGUACCUCUGGUGCACCAGUUGUCCUGCCAAGGGCAUAGCUGGGUAGCUAUGUACGGACGAGAUAAACGCUGAAAGCAUCUAAGCGUGAAACUCCCCCUAAGAUGAGAUCUCUCAUCCAUUAUGGAGUAAGGGCCCAGAAAGACGAUCUGGUUGAUAGGCCGGAGGUGGAAGUGCAGUAAUGUAUGGAGCUGACCGGUACUAAUAGCCCGAGGGCUUGACCUA
rnacentral:rRNA from 1 species